rnacentral:lncRNA from 1 species
GCCCUAACAGGUUAACAAACGUGUAUGCCAUCUGUAAAUACAAGUAAAAUUGUUAAAUUUAGAGCCUAGUUGGUUUAACCCCAGAAAAAGUCAAGAACCUUCCCACUAGCCACCCUUGGCUGAGAUAAUGGAUGGACAUGCUAAGAGAUAAGUCUGUAGCUUCUGUCUAUAACAUGAGCUGAUCAGUAUGUGUAGAUAAUCCUUGCUACCGUGGCGUUUUUGACAGAUAUAACAUCAGCCAUGGAGAACUGUAAAAGUGUUGCUUCUGCUCUCAACAACAUUGCUAUCCUGAAUUUAGCAGGCGCAAUCGACAAAGGUCAGUGGGAAAAAGUUUUGAUGGACUACUUUCUGAACACGUCAGUGUGAACCGGGCAAAACAAGCUGUAGCUACAAACAAAAACGGAAACGACACAGGAUUACUUUUACUUAGCUAAAGGGGUUCCAGUCUGCCGUGAAGAGUCCAUCCACGUAUACUGGAGCUGGAAGCAGAGCUGUCACGUCUGUAGGAGCUGGAAGCAGAGCUGGAAGCAGAGCUGUCACAUCUGUCGGAGCUGGAAGCAGAGCUGCCAUAUCUGUUGGAGCUGGAAGCAGAGCUGGAAGCAGAGCUGCCACGUCUAUCUGAGCUGGAAGCAGAGCUGGAAGCAGAGCUCACGUCUGUUGGAGCUGGAAGCAGAGCUGUCACGUCUGUUGGAGCUGGAAGCAGAGCUGGAAGCAGAGCUGUCACGUCUGUUGGAGCUGGAAGCAGAGCUGGAAGCAGAGCUAUCACGUCUGUUGGAGCUGGAAGCAGAGCUGUCACGUCUGUUGGAGCUGGAAGCAGAGCUGGAAGCAGAGCUGUCACGUCUGUUGGAGCUGGAAGCAGAGCUGCCACGUCUGUUGGAGCUGGAAGCAGAGCUGUCAUGUCUGUUGGAGCUGGAAGCAGAGCUGUCAUGUCUGUUGGAGCUGGAAGCAGAGCUGGAAGCAGAGCUGUCACGUCUGUUGGAGCUGGAAGCAGAGCUGGAAGCAGAGCUGCCACGUCUGUUGGAGCUGGAAGCAGAGCUGUCAUGUCUGUUGGAGCUGGAAGCAGAGCUGGAAGCAGAGCUGUCACGUCUGUUGGAGCUGGAAGCAGCGCUGUCACGUCUGUUGGAGCUGGAAGCAGAGCUGGAAGCAGAGCUGUCAUGUCUGUUGGAGCUGGAAGCAGAGCUGUCAUGUCUGUCGGAGCUGGAAGCAGAGCUGCCACGUCUGACCGGAGCCAUUGCUACAGAACUGUUUUUAAUAGGUUAAUGUUGCAUAGGAUUGUGUUUUUUAAGUCAUGUUAAAAAAAAACAAUCUGAGAGGAAGAUUUCAGCUUUUAUUUUGACUCAGAAAGUGAUCUUGACUCAGAAAAGGUUGGUGGCCUCUUAUCUACACUGAUUGAAGUGGAAUAAACAAGUGACAUCAAUAAGGGAUCAUAGUGUUCACCUGGAUUCACCUGGUGCAUAGAGUCAGUGCAAGACAGGGUAAGUGCAGCUAGUCCAAGUAACCAUUUAAUUAACAAUUUAGCAGUCUCAUGUCUAUUUAGCAGUCUUAUAGCUUGGUGGUAGAAGAUAUCUGUUCGUCUGAGAGCCGAUGCUCCAGUACUGUUUGCCGGACCAUAGCAGAGUGAACAGUUUACGUGGGUGGCUGGAGUCUUUGGCAAUUCUUUGGUCCUUCUUCUGACACCACCUGAUACCUGGAUAGGUCCUGGAUGGCUUCACAACAGUGUGGGUGUGUGUGGGUCGUGUUCCACGCUCCACUACAGCCCUGUCGAUGAGGAUGGGGACAUGCUCUCCCCUCUUUCUCCUGUAGUCCACGAUCAGCUCUUUGUGGAGCUAGAAGCAGAGAUGCCAUGUCUGUCGGUGCCAUUCGUCCUUCUGCUACUCUCCCUCUCCCUCUCCAUCGCACGUUCUUCUUUCUUCUCUUCGUCUCCGUCAAGUAGGCACAAUGGAUUAUGGUUAUUGUAGUUAAUUACCACUUUUUUAAAAGCUAAACUAUGUAUAAUAUUGGCAUGUUGGAAACUACAACUCCCUACUACACUGAAC